AAACUUAAUCUGGAAGUGGGAAGAUUGUAAUUAAAAUGUCUACGUACUUGCUAAUUACAUUAAUUGUGUUUUCAUAAUUAAAAAAAGUUCGACAAGUCUCCAUCUGGCAACCAAUUAUGAACUGAGUAGGCCACGUGACCUGAUCUUCCCGCCUUUUUUCUGCAAGUGGACCCACCGCUCCAACCUCGUGGCGUUAUCACGAUCGAUUUCACGCUCAUUUCUCUGUCCUAUCCAAAAAGGAAAAUUUCGCCGUGAUGGCUUCAACUGACGCCCCGUUCCGUCGAUUCUCCCACUCCCUCCGCCGUGCUUUGUUUCUCUCCCUUCCCCGAAACUUGUAACAUCUGCGUUUCCGCUUCAUGCAUCAGCCGAUUAAUUUCAAAAUUUCUGCGGCAAAGAAGUAAAGUGGUGAAGAGUUGUUACUACUGCCAAUGAAGGAUACGAUUUAGGAUGGUUACCUUCUUUCCGCGCGUGUUGAUAGCUUCUAUGUCUAAUUUUUUGUGUGGUUAUCAAAUAGGGGGGUAGAAUGGUCUUAUUGUUUCAAUUGCUCAAGAGCUUGGUUUUGAAGGGAAUCCAAUUCUUGAGGGACUUGUAGUGAGCAUAUUUAUGGGAGGUGCAUUUAUUGGAAGUAUCAGCUCAGCUUCUCUGGUAGAUAAAUUUGGUAGGAGAACUUUUCAAAUUGUUAUAAUGCCAUUGAUUCUUGGUGCAAUUAUAAGGUAAUUCACAUACAUAUGACUGUGGUGUGCUCCAUUGACAUUAUUUUUUGUCUGCUCCCUCUAAAUUUCUUUUUGGGGAUUGGGGUUUUGGGUGGCGAGAUGUCAUGUGGCUUUCUUUACUUUGUGUAUGAGUUCAGGUGUUUUUCACUCAGGUAUUGCUGUCUCCACAUAUUAUGGCUUCUUGAUCUUAUCAUGUAUUUUGUUUUAAAGGACUUCUGAAUUUUCAUUUCCAACUUUAAUCAUUGUGCAAGCCCUUUGCUUGGAUGAAAUGCUAUGAGGAUAAUUUCUAGUCAGCCUUGGUGUUGGUGUUAACAGAGUUCUUGUUCCAAUUUAUAUUUCAGAGGUACCGCUUAUCAGCAAAUAUGUUGAAUUUUUAAUUAUACUUGCAUUUAUGGGUGUAAACAAGUGGAGUCGCUCUCCAGUUGCUCACAACUCAACUUGAUUAUUGUUGAGUGAGCUCAAACUUCUUGUUGGUUGGCUUGAUGAUCUUGUGAGUAUACAACUUAAGUAAAAUAUCAAUAAACCCAUAAAAAUUUUAAAUCUUGCACUUAAACUUCUAAAAUCUUAAUCUUUGACUUUGAAUAUAAAGUAAUCGAUAAAUAUAUAACUUAUAAGGUUUAUGUGUUUUUUAAAGUUACGGGAUUCAAAUUAAUUUUUCGAGCUAAACUCAAGUCAGUCGUUCUUUUGUCGAGCUCAAGUCGAGCACUGCUUGGCUUGACUCGAUUACACUCUUACUUGCAUUGCAUCAUAUGAUGUCAAGAAUUUUGAUCCUAUUUAUAUGCCUUCUAGUUAUGGGAACAAGUGAAAUUUUAACAUCAUCUUGUCUAUUGCAUUGCACUCACUCUUGUUGUUUAAUUUAAUAUGACUCUUGUUGGUGUAAGUCAGGCUAAUUUGGUUUAGUGAACAAGAUUACAUCUCCAAAGUAACCAUCUUCUUGUAAUUCUCACUAAACAUCUUUUUAUGUUUUUUUAGGUUGCUCCAUCAUAAUAUAGGGGGAGCCUUGUGUCAGAUCGGUACUUGCAUUGGGAUUAUUGCAUCACUGUUUCUAGGAAUUCCUGCCGAAGAUGAUCCACAUGGUAAAUGUUCACCUUUGCUAUUGGAGUUGACCCUGUCACUGGUCUGAUUAUACCAGUGCCCAGCAGCAGCAGGAGAAAAUCAUGGGAUUCAGUUUCUCUAUUCACUGGGUAUGUAAUGUUCAGUUUUUGAGUAUACUGGCUAUAACAACUUCUAUGUACAUACUAAAAGCUUCAAUUGCCAUUUGUCAAUUGUUAACUUUUGUUGAAAUCUUAUGGGAGCAGAAAAACUAUGUCAAUGACUGCAACUAGAACAAUUUCACCUUAAUAUUUUAUAGGAUGAUAUUAAAUACAUUGCCGGACGGAAAACAGAAAUUGGUUUCUACUUGUGCUCUUGAAAUCUCGAUAAGAAUUGUUUAUUUGGUUCCUGCUAAAUUAAGUUUUUGAUCCACACUUGCACAAGUGUUUUGAAUCAGGUUUGUAAUUUCUUGGUGGGUCUAUUUUUCCCCGACUUAGUGGAGAUGCUUGGGGUUGCUCCGGUUUACGCUGAAUUUGGUGUGAGAUUCGCAGAAGAUGAAGAAUUCUGUGCUUGAGCCUUACUCUAGGAUACCAUUUUGAAGUUUACUUGAUUCCACACAGUGAAGAUUUCGGACUGAUGAUCCCUGAAGCUAUUGCAAGGAUUACUUGGUUUUUUUCUUAUCGUUCCUAUGUCAAAACCAUAGGAAGGUGACAAUGCCAAAAUUGUCAUACCUUUUUUGGCACUAGGAGCUACUAGCCCCCUAAGGGGGUGUUCAAUUUUUUUGUAAAAAACCUGUAUAAUCUUUUGAUAUCAUAAUUGUGUGUCUUCUCCGCGUACAA